UGGGGAAUUUUCCGCAAUGGGCGAAAGCCUGACGGAGCAACGCCGCGUGGAUGAUGAAGUCUUUCGGGACGUAAAAUCCUUUCAGCAGGGACGAAGCGAGUGACGGUACCUGCAGAAGAAGCAUCGGCUAACUACGUGCCAGCAGCCGCGGUAAUACGUAGGAUGCGAGCGUUGUCCGGAAUUAUUGGGCGUAAAGAGAACGUAGGCGGUUUGCCAAGUUUGAUCUUAAAGACCGGGGCUUAACUCCGGGAGUGGAUCGAAAACUGGCAGACUAGAGGACGUCAGAGGAAAGUGGAAUUCCCAGUGUAGCGGUGAAAUGCGUAGAUAUUGGGAGGAACACCAGUGGCGAAAGCGACUUUCUGGGACGUUCCUGACGCUGAGGUUCGAAAGCUCGGGGAGCAAACAGG
rnacentral:rRNA from 1 species